rnacentral:rRNA from 1 species
AAGUAAUUUAACGGCCGCAGUAUUUUGACUGUGCUAAGGUAGCAUAAUAGUUUGUCUCCUAAUUAGAGUCUAGUAUGAAGGAUAAAAUAAAUUCUAACUUUCCCUCUUUUAAAAAUUUAACUUUAUUAUUGAGUUAAAAAGCUCAAAUAUAUAAAAAAGACGACAAGACCCUAUGAAAUUUUAUUAAAAUGAGAUCUUUCUCAUAAUUUACAAAAAAUUAGUUUGAUUUCAAAAUAAUUUAGUUGGGGCGACUUUAAUUUUAAAAUAAACAAUUAAAAUUCUUUAAUAAAAAAGUUUAAAUUUAUUUAGAACCUUAUUAGUUUAUUUGAUUAAAUUACUCUAGGGAUAACAGCGUAAUUUCUUUGGAGAGCUCUUAUUGAUAAAGAA